rnacentral:misc_RNA from 1 species
AAGUCGUAACAAGGUUUCCGUAGGUGAACCUGCGGAAGGAUCAUUAACACGUAUCCAACGUUAAACAACCCUGUGAACCUUCACUCCUGCUCUCCUUGGUAAAUCACGAGAACGGUUUGAUUCAGGGACCUCUUUUGAUAUGCACUUGGAUUCGAUGCGGCGUCGUAAUUUAGACUUGGGUUCUGGGACAAGUCUCUGGGCUUCGGCCCCCCAUAUUAACCCAUUUUCCAUUCGGAGGAUGCGGAAACGCUCCUCAUAAAAACGAACAACUGUUAACAAUGGAUAUCUUGGUUCUC